rnacentral:rRNA from 2 species
GUUUGAUCAUGGCUGAGGAUGAACGCUGGCGGCGUGCUUAACACAUGCAAGUCGAACGAUGAUCCCAGCUUGCUGGGGGAUUAGUGGCGAACGGGUGAGUAACACGUGAGUAACCUGCCCUUGACUCUGGGAUAAGCCUGGGAAACUGGGUCUAAUACCGGAUACGACCAUCUGGCGCAUGUCAUGGUGGUGGAAAGCUUUUGUGGUUUUGGAUGGACUCGCGGCCUAUCAGCUUGUUGGUGGGGUAAUGGCCUACCAAGGCGACGACGGGUAGCCGGCCUGAGAGGGUGACCGGCCACACUGGGACUGAGACACGGCCCAGACUCCUACGGGAGGCAGCAGUGGGGAAUAUUGCACAAUGGGCGCAAGCCUGAUGCAGCGACGCCGCGUGAGGGAUGACGGCCUUCGGGUUGUAAACCUCUUUCAGUAGGGAAGAAGCGAAAGUGACGGUACCUGCAGAAGAAGCGCCGGCUAACUACGUGCCAGCAGCCGCGGUAAUACGUAGGGCGCAAGCGUUAUCCGGAAUUAUUGGGCGUAAAGAGCUCGUAGGCGGUUUGUCGCGUCUGCUGUGAAAGACCGGGGCUCAACUCCGGUUCUGCAGUGGGUACGGGCAGACUAGAGUGCAGUAGG